GGGCGUUAAGUUGCAGGGUAUAGACCCGAAACCCGGUGAUCUAGCCAUGGGCAGGUUGAAGGUUGGGUAACACUAACUGGAGGACCGAACCGACUAAUGUUGAAAAAUUAGCGGAUGACCUGUGGCUGGGGGUGAAAGGCCAAUCAAACCGGGAGAUAGCUGGUUCUCCCCGAAAGCUAUUUAGGUAGCGCCUCGUGAAUUCAUCUCCGGGGGUAGAGCACUGUUUCGGCUAGGGGGCCAUCCCGGCUUACCAACCCGAUGCAAACUGCGAAUACCGGAGAAUGUUAUCACGGGAGACACACGGCGGGUGCUAACGUCCGUCGUGAAGAGGGAAACAACCCAGACCGCCAGCUAAGGUCCCAAAGUCAUGGUUAAGUGGGAAACGAUGUGGGAAGGCCCAGACAGCCAGGAUGUUGGCUUAGAAGCAGCCAUCAUUUAAAGAAAGCGUAAUAGCUCACUGGUCGAGUCGGCCUGCGCGGAAGAUGUAACGGGGCUAAACCAUGCACCGAAGCUGCGGCAGCGACACUGUGUGUUGUUGGGUAGGGGAGCGUUCUGUAAGCCUGUGAAGGUGUGUCGUGAGGCAUGCUGGAGGUAUCAGAAGUGCGAAUGCUGACAUAAGUAACGAUAAAGCGGGUGAAAAGCCCGCUCGCCGGAAGACCAAGGGUUCCUGUCCAACGUUAAUCGGGGCAGGGUGAGUCGACCCCUAAGGC
rnacentral:rRNA from 1 species